GACGAACGCUGGCGGCGUGCUUAACACAUGCAAGUCGAACGGAAAGGCCUGCUUUCCCCUGUGGAUUGCGGGUACUCGAGUGGCGAACGGGUGAGUAACACGUGAGUGUUCUGCCCCCAACUUGGAUUUAAGCCUGGGAUACUGGGUCUAAUUCCCGGUAGGACUGCAGUGUGGUGCCUGUGGUGGAGCACGAUGUUCUAGUGGUUGCGGAUGAGCUCGCGGCCUAUCAGCUUGUUGGUGGGGUAAUGGCCUACCAAGGCGGCGACGGCUAGCCGGGCUGAGGGGGCGGACGGGCGCAUUGGGGCUGAGAUACCGCCCGGGCACCGACGCAAGGCCGCAGUUGGGAAGGGGAGACGAUGGGGGGAAGACUGAAGCAGGGACGCCGCGUGGGGGAUGCCGGGCUUCGGGUGUUAAGCUCCUUUCGGCGGCGAGGAAGCCACUUAGUUGGAAGGGUAGUGACGGUAGUGGUAGAAGAAGCACCGGCUAACUACGUG
rnacentral:rRNA from 1 species